rnacentral:rRNA from 1 species
ACGGACGAGAAGCUUGCUUCUCUGAUGUUAGCGGCGGACGGGUGAGUAACACGUGGAUAACCUACCUAUAAGACUGGGAUAACUUCGGGAAACCGGAGCUAAUACCGGAUAAUAUUUUGAACCGCAUGGUUCAAAAGUGAAAGACGGUCUUGCUGUCACUUAUAGAUGGAUCCGCGCUGCAUUAGCUAGUUGGUAAGGUAACGGCUUACCAAGGCAACGAUGCAUAGCCGACCUGAGAGGGUGAUCGGCCACACUGGAACUGAGACACGGUCCAGACUCCUACGGGAGGCAGCAGUAGGGAAUCUUCCGCAAUGGGCGAAAGCCUGACGGAGCAACGCCGCGUGAGUGAUGAAGGUCUUCGGAUCGUAAAACUCUGUUAUUAGGGAAGAACAUAUGUGUAAGUAACUGUGCACAUCUUGACGGUACCUAAUCAGAAAGCCACGGCUAACUACGUGCCAGCAGCCGCGGUAAUACGUAGGUGGCAAGCGUUAUCCGGAAUUAUUGGGCGUAAAGCGCGCGUAGGCGGUUUUUUAAGUCUGAUGUGAAAGCCCACGGCUCAACCGUGGAGGGUCAUUGGAAACUGGAAAACUUGAGUGCAGAAGAGGAAAGUGGAAUUCCAUGUGUAGCGGUGAAAUGCGCAGAGAUAUGGAGGAACACCAGUGGCGAAGGCGACUUUCUGGUCUGUAACUGACGCUGAUGUGCGAAAGCGUGGGGAUCAAACAGGAUUAGAUACCCUGGUAGUCCACGCCGUAAACGAUGAGUGCUAAGUGUUAGGGGGUUUCCGCCCCUUAGUGCUGCAGCUAACGCAUUAAGCACUCCGCCUGGGGAGUACGACCGCAAGGUUGAAACUCAAAGGAAUUGACGGGGACCCGCACAAGCGGUGGAGCAUGUGGUUUAAUUCGAAGCAACGCGAAAAACCUUACCAAAUCUUGACAUCCUUUGACAACUCUAGAGAUAGAGCCUUCCCCUUCGGGGGACAAAGUGACAGGUGGUGCAUGGUUGUCGUCAGCUCGUGUCGUGAGAUGUUGGGUUAAGUCCCGCAACGAGCGCAACCCUUAAGCUUAGUUGCCAUCAUUAAGUUGGGCACUCUAAGUUGACUGCCGGUGACAAACCGGAGGAAGGUGGGGAUGACGUCAAAUCAUCAUGCCCCUUAUGAUUUGGGCUACACACGUGCUACAAUGGACAAUACAAAGGGCAGCGAAACCGCGAGGUCAAGCAAAUCCCAUAAAGUUGUUCUCAGUUCGGAUUGUAGUCUGCAACUCGACUACAUGAAGCUGGAAUCGCUAGUAAUCGUAGAUCAGCAUGCUACGGUGAAUACGUUCCCGGGUCUUGUACACACCGCCCGUCACACCACGAGAGUUUGUAACACCCGAAGCCGGUGGAGUAAC